rnacentral:tRNA from 1 species
GCCCAUUUGGCUCAGUGGAUAGAGUGUCAGCCUUCGGACUGAAGGGUCCCAGGUUCGAUUCCGGUCAAGGGGCA